UUAAUAGAAGUAAAACUUGUAUAAUAGUUGUGAUAAGGACAACGAGUUUCUACCUGCCUCCGUAAAUUGGCAGACUACAAGGACAAGAUGA
rnacentral:ncRNA from 1 species